UCCUGGUGCUCAUGCCAGCGGAAGUAGUCGUACAAAUACGUGUUGAACUUUUUUCCUUAGUCUUGUGUUUUUGUCAUCGUUUAUGUGGUUGUUUGGUUGUAUGAGCUAUGAAAAUUUAUAUGUUUGUAUGAAAUUUAUGAAAUGAAAAAGAAAAGAAAUCGUCAGAAUGAGCGCGCGAGCGAUGCAAUUUUCAAACGUUGCAUGCUUCAUGAUUCCGUAAACACAUCGUCAUUAAUGUCUGUAAAACGUACAGUGAAUUUUAGAAUGAAACGAAUGAACUAAAGACUGCUGAGUCUUAUAGCAAAGAAAAUGAAUAUUCUGAAGAUGGAAGAAUUAGUAUAAGAAUUGUUUCCUAUGGACGAUUCAUCAUAUUCAUUGGAGAAGACGCCUUCAGAAAAUUUAGAUAAAAUUGUGCAAAGCAUUUUCAU